UCGCGGUGAAUACGUUCCCGGGCCCUUGUACACACCGCCCGUCACACCAUGAGAGUCGAUAACACCCGAAGCCUGUGAGCUAACCGCAAGGGGGCAGCAGUCGAAGGUGGGGUUGAUGAUUGGGGUGAAGUCGUAACAAGGUACC
rnacentral:rRNA from 1 species